rnacentral:rRNA from 1 species
UACGUAGGUGGCAAGCGUUGUUCGGAAUUACUGGGCGUAAAGCGUGCGCAGGCGGUUCGUUAAGUCAGAUGUGAAAGCCCCGGGCUCAACCUGGGAACUGCAUUUGAAACUGGCGGGCUUGAGUGUGGCAGAGGGGGGUGGAAUUCCGCGUGUAGCAGUGAAAUGCGUAGAGAUGCGGAGGAACACCGAUGGCGAAGGCAGCCCCCUGGGCCAACACUGACGCUCAGGCACGAAAGCGUGGAGAGCAAACAGG